AUGGGCUGCCCCGGGAGGAGCGUGUCCGUGGGCCAGUCGAAGCUCUGCCACAGCGUGCGCCCGGACUCGUCGAACAGCACGAGGUUGCCGGAGUCGAGGAGCUCCGCGCGGUCCGCGCUCGUGGUGCUGAUGUUGGUGUUCCACACGACGUGGCCGUCCAAGUCCUGCAGCACCAGCGACCCAUCACGCCGGAGCUCGGCUCGCGAGCCCCUACCAUUGACAGGGGCGUCGCGGUUGGCCGUCCAAGCAACGGUGGCGUCGGCCGAGGCCGUGAACCAGAUAACGAACGUGUAG
rnacentral:rRNA from 1 species